CCUACGGGUGGCAGCAGUGGGGAAUAGUGCACAAUGGGCGAAAGCCUGAUGCAGCAACGCCGCGUGAAGGAAGAAGGGUUUCGGCUCGUAAACUUCUAUCAACAGGGACGAAAGAAAUGACGGUACCUGAAUAAGAAGCCCCGGCUAACUACGUGCCAGCAGCCGCGGUAAUACGUAGGGGGCAAGCGUUAUCCGGAAUUACUGGGUGUAAAGGGUGAGUAGGGGGCAUGGUAAGCAAGAUGUGAAAGCCUUGGGCUUAACCCGAGGAGUGCAUGUGGAACUAUCAAGCUAGAGUACAGGAGCGGCACGCGGCAUUCCUAGUGUAGCGGUGACAUGCGUAGAUAUUAGGAAGAACACCAGUGGCGAUGGCAGCAUACCGGCGCUCCCCUGACGCUGAGGCACGAAAGCGUGGGGAUCGAACAGGAUUAGAUACCCUAGUAGUC
rnacentral:rRNA from 1 species